AUUGAACGCUGGCGGCGUGCCUAACACAUGCAAGUCGAGCGGCAGCGGGCCCGCAAGGGUGCCGGCGAGCGGCGGACGGGUGAGCAAUACAUAGGAAUCUGCCUCAGAGCGGGGGAUAGCCAGGGGAAACCCUGAUUAAUACCGCAUGAUGUCGAGAGACCAAAGUGGGGGACCGCAAGGCCUCACCCUCUGAGAUGAGCCUAUGUCGGAUUAGCUAGUUGGCGGGGUAACGGCCCACCAAGGCGACGAUCCGUAGCUGGUCUGAGAGGACGAUCAGCCACACCGGAACUGAGACACGGUCCGGACUCCUACGGGAGGCAGCAGUGGGGAAUAUUGGACAAUGGGCGAAAGCCUGAUCCAGCGACGCCGCGUGGGUGAAGAAGGCCUACGGGUUGUAAAGCCCUUUAAGCCGGGACGAAAAAAUCGGCGAUAACAUCGCCGGUCUUGACGGUACCGGAAGAAUAAGCACAGGCUAACUCUGUGCCAGCCGCCGCGGUAACAC
rnacentral:rRNA from 1 species